AAUAACAGUUGGAAACGACUGCUAAUACCGGAUGAUGACGUAAGUCCAAAGAUUUAUCGCCCAAGGAUGAGCCCGCGUAGGAUUAGCUAGUUGGUGAGGUAAAGGCUCACCAAGGCGACGAUCCUUAGCUGGGUCUGAGAGGAUGAUCAGCCACACUGGGACUGAGACACGGCCCAGACUCCUACGGGAGGCAGCAGUGGGGAAUAUUGGACAAUGGGCGAAAGCCUGAUCCAGCAAUGCCGCGUGAGUGAUGAAGGCCUUAGGGUUGUAAAGCUCUUUUACCCGGGAUGAUAAUGACAGUACCGGGAGAAUAAGCUCCGGCUAACUCCGUG
rnacentral:rRNA from 1 species